rnacentral:rRNA from 1 species
CUACGGGGGGCUGCAGUGGGGAAUAUUGGACAAUGGGGGCAACCCUGAUCCAGCCAUGCCGCGUGAGUGAAGAAGGCCCUAGGGUUGUAAAGCUCUUUCAGCGAGGAAGAUGAUGACGGUACUCGCAGAAGAAGCCCCGGCUAACUCCGUGCCAGCAGCCGCGGUAAUACGGAGGGGGCUAGCGUUGUUCGGAAUUACUGGGCGUAAAGGGCAUGUAGGCGGGUUGGUAAGUCAGGCGUGACAGCCCCGGGCUCAACCUGGGAACUGCGUUUGGUCCUGCCGAUCUAGAGUUCGGGAGAGGGUAGUGGAAUUCCCAGUGUAGAGGUGAAAUUCGUAGAUAUUGGGAAGAACACCAGUGGCGAAGGCGGCUACCUGGACCGAUACUGACGCUAAGGUGCGAAAGCGUGGGGAGCAAACAGGAUUAGAUACCCUGGUAGUC